GGCCGGAUAAGGCGUUCACGCCGCAUCCGGCAACUAUGCGGCGGUGCCUGAUGCGACGCUUUGCGUCUUAUCAGGCC
rnacentral:ncRNA from 1 species